rnacentral:rRNA from 1 species
AUUGAACGCUGGCGGCAGGCCUAACACAUGCAAGUCGAACGAGUGGCGGACGGGUGAGUAAUGUCUGGGAAACUGCCUGAUGGAGGGGGAUACCUACUGGAAACGGUAGCUAAUAACGCAUACCAUCGGAUGUGCCCAGAUGGGAUUAGCUAGGAGUUGGGGUAAAGGCUCACCUAGGCGACGAUCACGAGCUGGUCUGAGAGGAUGACCAGGCAGACUGGAACUGAGACACGGUCCAUACGCCUACGUGAGGCAGCAGUGGGGAAUAGUGCACAAUGGGCGCAAGCCUGAUGCAGCCAUGCCGCGUGUAUUAAGAAGGCCUUCGGGUUGUAAAGUACUUUCAGCGGGGAGGCGUUACCCGCAGAAGAAGCACCGGCUAACUCCGUGCCAGCAGCCGCGGUAAUUC